GAAGCGCCACCAGUCCUUCACAGUAAUCGCCUCGUUUCCAUAGGAAUUGGUGAAUUGAAGGUUACACUACGCAAAACUCUUUUUUAUUUUUAUUUAUUUAUUUAUUGAGACAGGUUCUAUCUGUAGCCCAGACUGGAGACCUCCGCCUCCUGGGUUUCAGUGAUUCUCCUGCCUCAGCCUUCUGAGUAGCUGCGAUUCCAGGCGCCGCCACCGCAGCCCGGCUAAUUCUUGUAAUUUUUCGUAGAGAGGGCGUUUCAUCGAGUUGGCCAGGCUGCUCUCCAAUUCCUGACCUCAGGUGAUGCGCCUGCCUCGGCCUCCCAAAGUGCUGGGAUUGCAGCCGUCAGCCACAGCGCCCGGCCUUUUUUUUUCCUGCUUUGAAACAGGGUCUGGCUCUGUCGCCCAGGCUGGAGUGCAGCGGCGCCAUCGCGGCUCACUGCAGCCUCCGCCUCCCUGGCUGAAGCGAUCCUCCUCCCUCAGCCUCCCCAGUCGCUGGGACUACAGGCGUGCCCCACCACGCCCGGCUAAUUUGUUACGGUUUUUUGAAGAGUCGUGGUUUCGCCAUGUUGCUCAUACGGCUCUGGAGCCCCUGACCUCAAGUGAUCCACCCGUCUCCGCCUCCCAAAAUGCUGGGAUUACAGGCGUGCGCUGCCGCGCCCUUCCGAUUUUUCCUAUUCUUUGUACCCUUUUUGCAGUUAAACUACAGCACGUCUGACUCCGCCAAGUCGUCCCCAGACCUGAAAAAGGGCUCCAAGAAGGCUAUGACUAAGGCAAGAAGCGCAAGCGCGACGGCCAGGAGAGCUGCUCCGUGUACGUGUACAAGGUACGUCCACCAACACCGGCAUCUCGUUCAAAGCUAUGGGGAUCCUGAACACCUUCAUUAAUGAUAUCUUUGGGUGCAUCGCGGGUGAGGCCUGGCGCAUUACAGCAAGCGCUCAACCAUCACUUCCAGGGAGAUCAGACUGCUGUGUGCUUGCCAAGCACACUGUGUCCAAGGGCACCACGGCCAUCACCAAGUACACCAGUUCCAAGUGAGCUCCUCGCUGUUUCGUCCGUUUCUCCACUUGGAACUCCACUAGGUUCGUCCUGACCCGCACCCUAAAGAUUCUUUUCAGAGCUAUCCAUACUUUCUAAACAGAACUGACGCUCAUUUAACCCUAGUUUUGAAAUGUCCAGUUGGCUUUAACCUAAAGCCUUUCAUAAAUGCUUCUUAAUUUAUGCAAAAGAUACAUUGUGGUCUUAUGGUAUUUCCAGUAGUAUUUGCUACCAAGUAUUUUAUGUUACAGAUGUCAAAUACACGAAACAGGAGUUUUAUUGUGUACAUUUCACUUACCUGGAUUAAAUGUCAACGCUGACAAUCCCGUUGAGUAAGUUAUUGUCUAAAAAAACAAGUAUUCUUUAAAGUAAAAUUCCUAUCAUCUUCUACUGAAGUAUCAUUGGAUGAUUUGCAGGUUAUACCGCAAUUUUCGGGCAUCCAGGUAGGAUUUUCAAUGAAUAGCCUACCAAAGUGCUGGCAUUACAGGCAUGAGACACCACGCCCUGCCAAUUCCAUCAAAUUACAAGUGAAAAACCAAAGUUACGCUUUGUGCCUUGUAGAAGUCUAUGCUCCGUGGGUGUGGCGACUGGCAAAGUCUAGCACCAGGACAGAAAGAAACAACAAAUGCAUUAAAAGACAUGAAGGAAGCUGAGAGACAGAAGCAUCCCUUAGAAAGUAAGAUGAUCUUCAGGAAUGAGAGCCAGCAAAAAUAGAAGGAUUGUCAGAGGACAGAAGUGGUGAAGUCAUUUCAUGGCAGAUGUCACUUAGUUCUCUGAUGGCUUGAGAAGGAUCAUCUUAAUGUGAAAAGUGGUGGAUAUAGAUAGUUCUGAAAAACAAGGCAGAUGUGAAAGUUCUUUCUGAAGUGAAAGAUGUGAUUGAACAGAUGACAGUUUUGAUUAAAAUGUUCCAGAUGGUAAAGUGAACAUAUUUUGAUGGUUGAAUGUUCAGCUGUGUGGUGAGAAUCCUGCAAAAAUAGAGUCACGAUGAAAUGCCUACCCUUCAAGACAUUUGAUUCCAGUAUGAUACGCACUUUUUAAGGUAACUACUAUUUCUUCUACCAGUAAGGUAGUGCAACUAAUGUCUGUAUUUUUAUUUUGGACUUCACAGACACUUGAACUAUAAAAGUCAUCGAUCUGUUUAAAUUUUCAAGCAUGAUUUAUUGAUCCAACAAUAGGUUGUUUAGUCUCUUCCUCUAGUUCUAAUGCUAAGUAUUUAUUUAUAUUUAAUUUAGCAACUGAUUUCUUUGGUGAUACACAACUGAAUCAACAUGGCAGCUAAUUUGCUAACUUCAACAUCAUUAAUGAGAAUUUGAAUUAUUACAUGGGAAAUCCACUCCUAGACCAGAGAAUACGAUGGCACUGAUGUAUAUCAUUUGAUAUAACUACAUUUUGAAGACUUUAAGAAUUAGAAGUCCUAGAAUAAUUUAGUUAUUGAUAUUUUUAAAACAUGUUAACAAAUACUAUACUGUUGAUUCUAUUUUCAGUGAUUAUUUUCAAUAAGGGUAGACUAGACAUCUUAGAUCAACCCUGAUGCUUAAAACAACUAGAAAACAAUCUGAUUGAAACUGUAGUGAAGACUCCCUCUGCCCUCUGAGGGUUUGAUAAUUAAGUCUAUGAAAUAAAUUGACAGCAGGCAGAUUAAUAAAAGAUGAAAAAAAUUUAUUUUGUGCAUGGAGUUAUCACAUGAAAGAGAAGUGAAUGCCCCCAAAUCCCCCGAGAUCCAGAAGUUUAUAUAUUCUCAGAGAGGAAGAGGGACGUAGGCAAUGCAGGGGAGAGGAAAUUAUUUUGGGGAAAGAUGAAUGGGUCCUCUAAAGAAUAGAUGACUGUCUGUGACAAAGUUUAUCUUGCAUAAUAUCAAGUUCCAGUCUCCUCCCCUGUGAUACAAGUUAAUCUUCUCUGGGUGAUGAGAUUGAUCGGGAGGGGACACUUGACACUUGAGUUCCUUUUGGAGGGACUGUCUGUACGCAAAUACGGGGACUUCAGAGAAAGCUCCACCUUGUGUUUGCUGUUCCCUAAGUGCGCUCAGUGACAUAUUUUGAGGUGGCAUUUCCUAAACUUCUUCAAAACUCUCAGGCAGCUUUCAAGACAAGGAAGAACUACACACCAAGAAUCUGCAAAGGAAAAAAAUCCGGAGUAUUUUGCAGCUGGAAAAUAAUGGAGAAAGAUUUCCAUAUUAUAAAUGAUAUCUAAUAUAUAUAAAAGUAAAAUAAGCAAGAUAGAGAAAAUUGUUAUGUAGUACAUUGCUGUUUAUCUAACAGAAGGGUAUUAAGAAUACAUACAUAUAUGCUUAUAAUAAACAACAGAAGGAUAUUUCAUAACAUUUAAAAUUAUUACUCUAAGGUAAGAGAGGCUAUUAGGAUGGAGGAGAAAGAUCUCUGGAUAUAAUUUUAUUUGACCUUGGGAUUAUAUAACAGUAUUUUAUGUAAUGGUAGAACCAAAUAUUAAAAGGUCCAAUUCCUAAAUAUCAACAGCAAAAUGAAGUAAAUUGAUUUGUAUAUCAAGAUCAUAAGUGUACAGAGAGGAAUACUCCAAAUACUUAGAAAAAUAGUCAUUAGAACAUAAAUGAACAUUUUUAGUGUGGUGUAUACCCUAAGGUGGCAGUUCUCAAAUCUUUUGGGCUCAUGACCCACUUACAGUUUUUUUUCCCCCGUUUUGAGACAGAGUCUUGCUCAGUCACCCAGGCUAGAGUGCAGUGGCAUGAUCUCGGCUCACUGCAACCUCCGCCUACCAGGUUCAAGCAAUUCUCCUGCCUCAGCUUUCUGAGUAGCUGGGAUUAGAGGUGUCUGCCACUGUGCCCAGCUGAUUUUUGUAUUUUUAGUAGAGACGGGGUUUCACCAUCUUGGCCAGGCUGGACUCAAACUACUGACUUCAUGAUCCACCCCCACCUUGGCCUCCCAAAGUGCUGGGAUUACAGGCCUGAGCCACCACGCCAGGCCAGCUUACACGCCUAUAAAGUAAUUAAGUGAUGCAGAGCAUAAUUUGGGCAUUAGAGUUUGGAUGCCAGCAAUGACAGUCAUUAAAAUGAAAUAUGCUGUCCUGACAUGACAUUUCAGUGAACAAAGCACCAUGGAUUUUUCCAGGGAGCUCCGUUUUGAGCCUUGAUCUACAGCAGGUUAGGUGGUGGAACUUGAGAUCCAAAGAAUUUUGUUUCUGUAGGUUAUAACUAUUGACAUUUACCAUAUUAUACAGUAAUAAAAAAAUUGGCUAAUUCAUUUUUAAAAAAUAAUAAACCCAUUUUAUGUUAGCAAGGGUAUUUUAUGAAAAGUGGCUAUAUGUUUAAUAAAAAAAAGUGACACUUUUACAUUUUUUGCAAAUCUCUCUAAUGUCUUGUUUAAUAAAAGACAGUUGAAUUCUUAUAUUUGCUCAGGCAUGCAAUAUGUUGCAAUGUAAGUCAUGUGAAAAUAAUAAUGAAAAAGGAAAAGAAGUGUCAGAAUUAGUAGGAAAUAAUUUUAGCCUCACAGACCCACUAAAGAGGUCUCAGGGACCUCAGCGGUCUCCAGACCACAUUUUCAGAAUCACCGCAAUUGUUGCCAUUAUAGAAAUCACUGUCCUUAGUACCGAAAAGGAAGCAAACACUUUUUAAAAGUUAUUUCUUAGUAACCAUAUUGUUGGUGACACUGGAGGGGAUGGCUAUGGCAGAAGCUGAUGCCGAUGAUAAUUUGUGAAUACCUUGGAAUUAAGAGUUUGGAUUCCCAGCAAUGAGAGUCAUUAAAAUGAAAUAUGAUCUUCUGAAAUAACAUUUCAGUGAACCAAGCACCAAGGAGUUUUCCAGGGAACUCUAUUUUGAGCCUUGAUCUACAGCUUAGGAGGAGGCGGAACUUUCCCCAAGGUCAAUACAACAGAACCUUACAAAUGCAAGGAUGGAAGCCUCCUGGAGAGCAUGAUGCUCACCAGAGAUGUAGGGCACGAUGACCUAGGGGAAGGCAAAUCCUAGACCACAGCGUAAGCUUAUAUUCAGCUCAUCAUAGUGUUUGUUUCAGUUGAAUUGCUGGCAUUUUGCAUGCUGAAUCUAUUCUAAUUGACAACUGCAAUUGUUCUAUUUAAUUAAAAUUCUCCAAUCAGUAAUACUUACACAGUGAGGAUUCUUUCAGGCUUUCUUGCCCCCCUCCUGCCUUAACUUAUUUUUAUUUGCUUCUCUAGACACCUGAGAUCAUCCUCACUUUGCGUCAGCAUGAUGUCCUACACUCAUUAGGGUUUCCUAGUCCCCAAAACCUGUGACUGGAUCCUCUUCAAGAACUUUGGGUUCUUGACUAGAUACUGAAAAUCUCUACUCUGGGGUUUAUGUUAGAUUGUUUUCUGUGUGCCCUGAUGCACCUGGCUGACCUGGGGGACUUAGAUGAUUUUUUAAUAACAGAUUUAAAAUAUUAAUUUUUUUUUUCUUUUUUCCCUCCUCUUUCACAUAUCAAAGAACACUGUUUUUAAAGGAUAGGUGCAUGUUACUUCUUUCACUGAAAGUCUUUUGUCCUUCCUAAAAAGUUUUCCUUUUUAAAUCUAACUCACUUUUCUUCCCAAUCUAAAAGCUUCAUUUGUCUCUGUCCUAAAAAAAAAUUCCAUUAUCAAGGUCAAUUUGCUAUAUUAAAAGUUACUGAUUUAAUGAAUGUGUUGAAAGAACAAUAUUAUUUAAAAUUCUAGAGAGCACAUAAUGGACUUUUAUCCACGUACAUAUUAAAGUCACACCACUGACUUUAGAACCAACUAGUAAAAGAUACUAGUAUACUUGGAUUAUAAUGUAUUUUAGGUGCAGCUCCAUAUAUAUUCACAUCACAUGUACAAAAUUCUAAUAGUAAUUAAAGUAAUUGAGAUGUAAAUUUACAGGUUUUAUUUUUCUUUGAAAAGUACAGAGACUUUAGAAGUUAUCAUUACACGACAUCCACGUUCUAUGUAAAACCUGAAUUUUUGCAUGACUAGGCCAUGCCUAUACUCAGUUUUGUAUUCUGUAUUAAUUCUACUAUUAAAGCUAACAUAAUAUAAAACAUAAUCCUAAGAAAUUAAAACACACACAAGUCCCUUAAUUAAUGGAUAGUUUUCUUCAUUCUAAGCAUCUGAAGAAAUCCUCUGGAAAACAGUUCAUAUCUUUGUUUUAGUAUAACAUAUUAAACUAAAAUUACUAUUUUAAAAGUAGUGUUUUAUAUAAUAUGGCUUCCAGAAAUAUAUAGGCCAUACUUAUUCAGCUUUGAAUGUCAGACUUUAAGCAAAAAUUCAGGUUGUCUCCUUUCCAUAAUGCAAGACCACAGCCUGAGAGACUUUUUUUUCCCCCACACCAGGAUAUAUGACAGGAAAGAACUGAGAGACAUUUGAUGGGCAACCACUAGUUUCUAUCUUGGAAAUACUGCAAAUUAAACAAAUCAGGUCACCCUCUAUGCAUCUUCAUGUGUAACUUGAACAAAUGGGAAAUACUGCAGUAAGUGGUUAAUUGGUAGAAUAGUUUUUUUGUUCUUGAGUAACAAGAUAUGUUUCCAAAGUUUAGAAGCUGAAUAGGUAAGAAAUACAGAAACAACAACAACAAAAAGAAAUACAGAAACAACUAUAUAUUGCUUUUUAAUUCUUGUUUUUUACAAUGAUGGCAAUCCAUAAUGUUACUUGUUAUUUAAUCAUUCCAUAAGAAUGUUAUUCUUGUUUUUUCAGUAAUUAAAAAGACAGCUCUAGAAGCUUCCAUAGACUUAUCUAUAAAUCUGUUAUUGUUUUGACCUCAUAUCACUUUUAAAGAUUAUGUACAUUUUUUUGUUUUGUUUUGUUUUUAAGUAACGUGGGGCAAUCCUAGCUCACUGCAGCGUUGAACUCCUGGGCUCAUGCUAUCUUCCUACCUCGGUCUCCCAAGUAGCUGGGACUACACAUAAAAAGCACCUCGCCUAGCUUCACUUUUAAAGGAUUUAGAAUCUAAUCUUUCUCUGGUUUUAGAUUGCUUUAUACAGAAUUCAAUUGUGUUUUGUUGGAAAAAUUCCUCUACUUUGGGAUUUUGGCAGUGAUCCUCGUAGCAAUGGUGAUGGGCAGAACAAAAGGCUUUGAUUUUGCCGAAAUGCAUUUGAUGGACUACACUUAAGCAGCUGCACAAAGAAACCUCCUAGAGCAAAGGAGUAAAGAAAUUAUUGGUGAGGCCGGGCGCAGUGGCUCAAGCCUGUAAUCCCAGCACUUUGGGAGGCCGAGACGGGUGGAUCAUGAGGUCGAGAGAUCGAGACCAUCUUGGUCAACAUGGUGAAACCCCAUCUCUACUAAAAAUACAAAAAAAAAUUAGCUGGGCACGUGGUGCGUGCCUGUAACCCCAGCUACUCGGGAGGCUGAGGCAGGAGAAUUGCCUAAACCCAGGAGGCGGAGGUUGCGGUGAGCCGAGAUCACGCCAUUGCACUCUAGCCUGGGUAACAAGAGCGAAACUCUGUCUCAAAAAAAAAAAAAAAAAGAAAGAAAUUAUUGGUGAAACUCUGAAUCUUGGAAGGGAACUCAAAAGAUCAUUUUAUUAAACUUUACCUUUACUUACAUUCGAAGGAAUGAAAACCUUCGAAUGUAAGCAGUCUGUCACACCAGAACCCAGGUCUCUGGGAUUCCUGUCCAGUGUUUUGUGUGUGUGUGUGUGUGUGUGUGUGUGUGUGUGUGUGUGUGAAAAAGUGGGAGGAGGGUAAGGACAAAAGGGUGACAGAAAGCACAGUUCUCUCAUUCAGCAUACAUGUAUUGAGUGCCUACUAUAUGUCAAUGAUACACCAAUAAAUAAUAUGGAUUGUUACACAUACUUUUAUAAAUGAGCAAUUCCAUUUUAAAAGAUAAAUAUGCUUUUAGUUAGUAAAACACAGGCAAACAUGCUUGUUUUAAGUAAACAUAAGUAGUCAGUAAAUAGAGCAUAUGUUGUUAAAUACAAAUGUAAGGGAUGGAAGAGUCAAAAGAUACUAAUGUUCAUGAGGCACAAAAUAUAAGAAAGGAGCCACAGAUUCAGAAUUCACAGACACAUGAGACAUCAAAGCACUGACUCAUGAGGCCCUGAGUCACGCGCACAUUGGAGACACCAUAAGUUCUCUACUUCGGAAACAAAGAUAAAAUCCAUGGCUCUGCAGUUAACUGCUUGGUUGGGACCAGGCAUAUAUAUAUCUGUGUCUAUCAAACAGGCUGAUUCAGUGAUGUACGACAGAUCACAUAUAGGGAAAUUGCUCACACUUGAUUCAGAUAGUGUGGUUCUUCCAACUCGCACACUAAACCUACGCUGCUCUCCUUUUUCCCCUUGCUGUUUGGUGUUUUUAAUGAAGUUGUGAUCUGAGCAUUUCACCGCAUAAUCUGCAAACCUAUUUGUGCUGUGUCCUCUGGGAGAGCUUGCAGGGGACUGUACUUGGAGCUUAUCAGGGCACUAAGGUAAUUUCCCACAUGGUACCAGUAAGGACUCUCCAUCAUAACCAAAAUGUGGAAGAGUCACCUUUGGACAGCAACUUGCAGGAAAUGAGGGAAAAAUGCUGCAGGUGUGUUCCAGAGAGAGGUAAAAUAAAGUACAGGGGCUCACAGAGACACAAUGCUCAGCAGUUUGAGGAACAUCAAGGCGGCCAGGGUGGCUGGAAUAGAGGAAGCAAGUGAGACAGCCCUAGGAGAUGAGGCCAAAUACAUCACUGGGGCCAGAGUAUGCAGAACUUCACAGGGCAAGGUAAGCGCUUUGGAAGUGACUGAGUCAAGGAGCAGGCAAUCUGACUGAAAAUUUUAGGAGACCAUCUGGAUGCUGAGUGAGCAUAGACUAGAGAGGCACAGAGAUAGGAGCAGGUGCACCAGAUAGAAGAUAUCCAAUAAUCAGAAGACAGGAGGUGGGUGCAGAGGAGGUCAGCACUGGCAGUAGGAAGUAAAGGGCUCCCAGUCUGGAUCGUUUAUCCCUAGAUUACUGCCAAUGGGGUCUUCUUUCAUAGUCUCAUUACUCUGUUCAUUUCUGCCCAAUUAAAAUCUCUAAAAUGCUUUUUCCUUUCUAAAAACACUUUUCAAAACAGUGCUUUCCUUUCCACACAAAUCUAAACUAAUCUGCCUGAGCGUUCUGUUUCUUGAGCUCUGAAAGAUGGUGCCUGUUUUGUUGAAGAAUUUGUGCAUUCUGUCCCAUCUCUCUGAAUUAGGACAUACCACACUAAAUCCUGGUAUAUGAAUUGUGUAUAUCAGUAAGGCUUCUUUAGUUGUCAUCUGUUAUGAUGUAUGUCCUUUAGGACAGUGACCACGUUCUUUUGUAUUGACUGUUCCUCCAAGGACACAUUCAAUGUUAAUCAAGUUCCUUUCUCUAUGCCUCCCUGUCGGGGUCCCGCACGUCUGCCGGGGGACUACCGACCUGCGGGAGUCCCCGAGACCGCCAACGUAGAUGUCUCGUUCAACCUGAGAGAGAGAGUGUGCGGAAAAGAAAGAAUAUAGAAAAGUAGAGUCUGGAGGGCUGCGUGAAGAUUAUGGCCAAAACGCAGCAAAUUUAUUUUUGUGGGUUACAGCUUUUAUACCUUUUGUCUUGUUUACAUUUACCUUAUCUCAGCAGAAAGAAAGAAAGGGGUAGACAGAAAGGAAACAGAAACUCCAUAAAAUAGUUACCAGGGGCUUGUGAUAUCCUGCUCAGAAGGCAGUUUAAGGGGGCUAGUGGUAGUAGUUUACAUUUGAAAGAUUUUACAUUUCAAAGAUACAAUGGCGCCCUUAAAGUGGCUGGUUAAACCUGUUUUUCACCAGGAGCUAAGACAAAGGCUUGGCUCCAGGGAAAAUAUGGGCAGAGGUCUCUGCUCCUCUUAGGCAUCUUAAUUGCAGCAAGUUUAUUGCUUACACAGAGACUGAAGGGGGACAUGGAAGCAGACAGCACAAUGUCCUCAUAAACUGCAGGCCUUUGCUUUGCAUUCUGUUGUUGCUUUUAGUGAGUCAGCUCACGGCCCUGUCUCACUCGACAGCCCUCGAGGUGAGGAAAUGCAGUACAGGUCCAGCAGCCAAACUGGGGUAAAUCAACUAGCUGUCUCGAGCCCUUGGCGUGAACACCACACCUCCCCUUGUGCAGCCUUCGCGCCAAGGGCUUGAGACAGUUAGCGUGACUCGUCCCAUCUUGGCUGCUGGACCUAUCUGCACUCCCUCCUCUCGAGGGCUGUCGAGCUGAGACAAAGGUCUCGGGCUGAGUCACUGAGGCAAAAACAGAAUACAAAGCAAAGGUCUGCAGUUUAUGAGGACAUUGUGCUGUCUGCUUUCCUGUCCCCAUCAGUCUCUGUGCAAGCAAUAAACUUGCUGCAAUUGAGAUGCCUAAGAGGGACAAGAGACCCCUGCCCAUAUUUUCCCUGGAGCUAAGCCUUUGUUCUACCUCCUGAUGGAAAACAGGUUUAACAAGCCACCUUAAGGGCGCCAUUGUUUGCUUGCACUGUGUAUCUUUGAGAAACAUAAACUGCUUUGUAAACUACUAUCACAAGCCCCCUUAAACUGCUUUGUGAGUGGUUAUCACAAGCCCCUGAUAACUAUUUUAUGGAGUUUCUAUUUCCUUUCUGUUUACUUCUUUUUUCUGCUGAGAUAAAGUAAAUGUAAAAAGAAAAAUGGUAUAAAAGCUGUAACCCAUAAGAAUAAACUUGCUGCGUUUUGACCAUAAUUUACGCUGACCUCCAGACUCUGCUUUCCUUUUUUCUUUCACUUCCGUGCACUCUCUCCCUCAGGUUGAACGAGACAUCUACAUUGGCGGUCUCGGGGACUCCUACAGGUUGGUAGCCCCCCGGCAGACCCCAACAUCCCCUUCCCCCAUACCCACAUUUAUUUUCAUUCCCUGCCUUCUAGUCUGGCACAACAUGUCGGUAAAAAACAACACGACCAGAAAGCAAAUUCUGAGCCGUGGGGAAUCUGUCUGAGAAUAAGCAAUUGCAGUACGCCUUAUUGUUCCCAGGACACGUUCUUGCUCCACGUCCAGCAAUAAAUUUCCAAGAAGAAUUCGUCAACAUUUCUCUGACUGAUUUAACACAGUGAAGACAUACCUAUUUAAGGGUAUUGCUGGUGGCCAGAGGACAGAGGCUAUUGAGACCUCUGCAGUGAGGUACCUGUUGCAAAGCCCUACCAAGAAGGGGGCUGUUGGGACUCAUUCUUCAUUGGGAUCAGCAUGGUUCUGUAUUACAUUUUUACAAGAGUUGAGUUUCCAUAUGUUCUUAAGGUCCAGGGUGUAUACAGGAGCUCCAGUAUCACAGUGGACCCCACAGAAGUGGCCAACUACUUACAUUUCAAUAUCCUUCUCUGCUUUUUUAUCAGGCUAAAGCUGAAUGUGAAUCUGAUAGCUGCUGCCUUAGUUCACACACACUAUUCACCUAGACAUCUUUCCUGCGGACAGCUCCUAAGUUAUUCAAGUAGUUCCUGAUGGCUCAAACUUACAUACGGAUAUACAGGUGCAGAAAUGUAGACAUCUAUCUAUAUUCUCUGAAUGUUUAAUAAGGAGUCACUUCACUAUUCUUUAUUCUGGCCAGGAGAAUAUGUUUACGUAACUCAAACCUUCUAAAUCCUCUUCUCACCUUCUCUUCCGGAUUUUAACUACAGAUUCCUCCCUUCCAUAAAACAAACCAAUAACAGAAUUUCCUGCUGAUUAUCUGUAUCAAUGGAGAGGCCCAAAGUCACCUGUGCUAUGAAAAAUUGUGCUGAAAAAACUCAAAUGUAUAACGAAUUUGCCAUCCUUAAGUAUUUUUAUGGUGAGAGGAGAUGAUACAUAAAUGAAAAACAUAUAAUCUCUGUUCUAACAGAGGAGUAUACACACAGACACAUACAUAACAUAUAUACAAAAUCCACAUAUGCAUUCACACACACAGCCUCCAGAGAGAUGUUACAAAGAUUGUGUGGGAAGCUAAAUAGAAAUUUUUAAGAGCUAGAGGAGCUGAAGGAAGACAGAGCUCAGCUAGGCCCUAAUAGAGAGGACUUCAGAGAGUGAGAUUUGCAUGAACUUUGGAGGAUAAGUUAGGAUUUAGACAGAUAAAGAAGUAGGGAGAACAUUUAAUUUAAUAGAUUUCAUGAAGUCUGAAUUGUAUCAGUUCUGUGCUAAAUGCAGGUUCAAUACAUCAAAUAAUGUAAAGAAACCAACUGCAAUGAAGCACCAUCGAGAUCCUCCAAGCACUUCCUAGGAAUAAGGAUUCUUGGUUUAGGGUCUUUAGUCUACAGAUUGAGAAUCAAGGGUGCCUGGUGAUAGGUUGCUGACUCUUAAUUUUAGCCAAAAUCUUGAGCUUUCUGAAUCCGUGGGCCUUCUUAAUACCUUGGUCAGUCUUUUUCUCUUCCUUAAGAGAGGAGGAGCAAUGAAUAACAUUUAGAGAAUGAAUAAUAUUCACAGAAACACUAUUAGGUUUGGGUUUCUCAUCUAUAAGUUUUCCUUUAUGACAAACUAUGUGAUGCUUGUAACUUGUUUCUACAUAGGGGUUUUUAUCCUAUCAUAUUUUCCAAUAUAGUAUUUGAUACCUAAAUUUAAUAUAUGUAACAUAUUUGAAGUUUAAAUCAAAUUAUAUCAAAUACCCAUGAUCAAACAUCUAACUCAAAACUGGAGUGUUGGCAACAACUUGGAUUUAUUUCUGUGUUUUUCCCCAUCCCCUUGUCCUGCCUUUAUCACUGAGAUAGCAACUACCAGGUAUUUUUUAAAAACUCUUAAAAGCCUUCAUCAUCACACAUAUAUGUACACUUACGCUGUAAAAGUGUUUCUAUAUACACGUCAACAAUGUAUACUUUGAUUUUAUUUUCAUUUUACUUUAUUUACUUAUUUAUUUAUUUUAGAGAUAGAAUCUCACCAUGUUGCCCAGGCUGGUCUUGAACUCCUGAGCUCCAGCAAUCCUCCCACCUCAGCCUCCCAAAGUGCUAGGAUUACAGGUGUGAGCCACCAUGCCUGACCAUGGUUUUAUUUUUGAGUUUUAAAAAAUGGUAUUAUAUGUGAACCUUCCGAAACUUAUGUUUCUAAAACUCGACCGUGUACUGUGUGUACCUCAAUAAAUGCAUUUAUUCUUUUGGCCACAAA